GGCGCGUUCGCGGGGUGGUCGAACGCAACGGUCUGCAAAACCGUAUUCCAUCACCGGCUCGCCUCCCGGACUCGCCUCCC
rnacentral:tRNA from 1 species